rnacentral:lncRNA from 1 species
GCAUAGUCACGUUACUACCAGAGGCUGGACAGAGCAGGAAAUGGAAUGGGAAGUUGUACAAGAUCUCAGUUAAUGGCCAUGAAAAAACCCAUGCCCCUGGAUCGCCUCAACAGGUGAUGACCCAGUUACAUUAAUAAUCCAGUAUAGGAUUUUAUUCUCCUUAUUUACACAUGGUACUCCCAUUUAGACUCGUUUGAGUGAUUUAGCUUCAGCAGGAAAAAGGAGAUUUAAAUCUCUGGUUUCUUCUAUGCCUGUUUCAAGAAAGAAAUUAACUGUACUGUACAAAAGCAAAAGAACUCCAGGCUACAGAAUCUGACUACACUGAAAAUAAAAGCAGCAGUGGCAUUGUAGCAGGGAGUUACAAACGGAGGUCACUCUUCACUUUUAAACUUUAUACUUCAGUAAGGAAGGUCAUGAUUCAAGUUCUUGAAGGGGAAAGUUUUGCUUAGUUUAGUUUUGACAUUUCAGUAAGUUCACCACCACUGGUACGCUCCUGAAAAAAAAAGAAAAANAAAAAAAAAAAAAAAAAAAAAAAAAAAAAAAAACAAAAACCAACCAUGGAUUAUCUCAGGUAUCUUUCCAACUAUUAUUCCAGUCAGUAUAUGUCAUUAUUUUGAGUUUGAACACUGUGCUGAUUGAUGCUCAAGUGAAUCAGCCUUUUUUUUUUUCUCAGUAUCAAGCAAUUCAUUAAAAAUCUUAUUAAUUUUAGGAGUCUUGGAUGCCCCUUUUCUUUGCUGUGACCUGAAUGAGCCAAUUCAUAGCAGAUAGUCUGACCAUUUUCACUCUGUCCAGAUCAUAUUGUUUGGAUGUCUUGGGAAAACUACUUUGGAGAAGAAGAGAAAGACAAUUUCCUUACCAGGACACAUCAAAAUGGUUUUAGAAAGCUACCCAGGAGAACACCUGCAAUCUGUGGGAAGAUGGAACACCUGCUCCACUGUGAUUACUGAGAAAGGAAGUCAGCAUCUUUCGGUGUAAAACAACCCCUUCUUCAGAUCAAAAGUAAAGCAGAAAGACAGUAAGUUAUUUGUGUGGAACUAGCAUCAGCAUAAGGAGAGAAAAAGCACGCUUGGGACCAUUUGUUCUAAAAAAAUAAAAAUAAAAAUAAAAAAUAAAAAUAAAAAAUA